GCUCGUGUUUUUGACGUUUAAAAACGUAAACAUUGAGAAAAAAAGCAAAAUUCCGAAGCGAUACGGAUUGUUAAGUGCGCGAAUUUUUUUUUCACGUGGAAUUCCGGUAAAUUAGUGCGGAGAGUGACAGUUUUUCAUGAAAAAAUGGAAUUGUUUUAUUUCGAAGCGAAAAAGAGCGUUCAUUGAGAAAGCAGCUUGGAGUUGCUCGAAGUAGCUUUGACAGUUAUUUGUUGACAAAAAAUACGAGCUAGUACAACCAACCCCGAGCAAGUUCGAUCAAAGUCAUUGAACACAGCUAACUAGCAUCACGUCUGCCGGAAAUAGGUGCUCAAGUACAAACCUGAGUUUCACCAAAUGAAAACCUCGAUCUGAGUCCGCUACGGGGUCGGACAGCAUCAGAAUCCAAACCGCCAACAACUUCAACAGCUACCACCUCAACUUUAAAACAAAGACGCUAGAUUUCGUUCUGCAAAAUUAAUUCACGCUCAAGUCAC